AACGAACGCUGGCGGCAUGCCUAACACAUGCAAGUCGAACGAGACCUUCGGGUCUAGUGGCGCACGGGUGCGUAACGCGUGGGAACCUGCCCUUAGGUUCGGAAUAACUCCCCGAAAGGGGUGCUAAUACCGGAUAAUGUCUUCGGACCAAAGAUUUAUCGCCUUUGGAUGGGCCCGCGUUGGAUUAGCUAGUUGGUAGGGUAAAAGCCUACCAAGGCGACGAUCCAUAGCUGGUCUGAGAGGAUGAUCAGCCACACUGGGACUGAGACACAGCCCAGACUCCUACGGGAGGCAGCAGUGGGGAAUAUUGGACAAUGGGCAAAAGCCUGAUCCAGCAAUGCCGCGUGAGUGAUGAAGGCCUUAGGGUUGUAAAGCUCUUUUACCCGGGAUGAUAAUGACAGUACCGGGAGAAUAAGCUCCGGCUAACUCCGUG
rnacentral:rRNA from 1 species